UAAUCCCCUGUUACUCGUGAUAUCUAAAAUCCGGCAGCGACCGCCGAGCCUCAUGUUAGCGUGUGUGCCGAUCUGCUAGGGGUUCAUCAGUGUGACAACCAGCGAGGGACACGAGGUCAGUCUUUAAAGGAACAAAACAACAUGGAUCCCUGUCCUCUUGCAUUCACUGAGACUGCAUAACCCACUCCACGCUGGGUUUUAAGAACAGGAGGACUGUGAGGAUUUCCACAAAGGAAAUAAAGACUGACUCAGUGUUUUUU